GUCCUGGCCCUAAACGAUGAAUGCUUGGUGUGGCGGGUAUCGAUCCCUGCCGUGCCGAAGCUAACGCAUUAAGCAUUCCGCCUGGGGAGUACGGUAGCAAGGCUGAAACUCAAAGGAAUUGACGGGGGCCCCGCACAAGCGGUGGAGCAUGUGGUUUAAUUCGACGCAACGCGAAGAACCUUACCCAGGCUCGAACGGUAGAUGACAUCUUACGAAAGUAGGCUCCCGCAAGGGCAUCUAUCGAGGUGCUGCAUGGCUGUCGU
rnacentral:rRNA from 1 species